CCCAGCUCGUCAUGCUAGAGCACUUUUUCAAUGGGCUCCCCAACGACAAGGCGACGACGCAUUCGUAUGUCAUCCAGAUCAACUUUUGAUGCCUACCAUGGGUAAUGGGGAAUCAGGGUUUGAUUCCGGAGAGGGAGCCAGAGAAACUGCUGCCACAUGCAAGGAUGGCAGCGGGCGCGCAAAUGACCCACUCCCAACGCGGGAAGGUAGUGAUG